UUAGAUCUGUAACUUUGCCAAUGUGUAUCUAUGCUAUAUCCAGGGUGGCCGUCAUAAGCAGGCCUGUGUAAUGCUAUAUAAAUAUAAUACCGUAACUGAUUAUGCCAAUUACGGAGAUUAGGCAAAAUACUGAAGUGUGUAUACAUGACCAGGGCACGGUUGUAUCGUGGAAGUGCUUACGCUCGCAAUUCUUGGGAGAACAAGGGAAAUACCCUAUUCAGAUACAAGAAUACUCAUUGCGUACUCGACAACGUCGCCCUCCUCCGCAUUCCCAAACGAAAUAAGAUAAUGUUUAUCGUGUGGUCUUGUUGGUGAUUGGUUGGAUAACAACCACGUAAACCGGACGCUGAGCAAUCCCUUUUGAAAAGUAAAUAAAACUACAGUAUAACCGAAAGGUCCACUGAUUAAUCUCAGAUAAGAAAUAUUAUACAUACAUUCCUGAUGAUGACAUAAUUAAUGUCGAAAUAUUGAAUCCCAACACGAUGGCGUGUAUUUCAAUACUUGGAGUAUGUAUUACACUUUCCUACAGUAUAACUUUAGCCGACUCUUUACACAGCCGAAUUUUCAAGAUUGCCAGCAGAGACGACACAGUCUACUGAUGAUUGUUCAGGAUCGACUGUUUCAUGCCAUAGGCCUCGUUGUAAUACUUGCGCACACAUCUACUUCACCAAUAUUCUUAAAGGACCAUCCGGCACUCAUGCUAUCAAGGACACUUUCUCAUGCACUUCCAUCAAUCUCAUAUACGCUAUUAUCUGUAUUAAAUGUAAUCUUCUAUACAUCGGCGAAACCAAAAGGAGAAUGGCAGAUCGUUUUACUGAACAUCGUAGAUCCAUCCGUCUCCGGCAAGCUGGUUUACCCAUUGCGUCGCAUUUUAGUCAUAAUCACAGUAAAGAAGAUAUCAAGAUCACUGGUGUUUCUCUCUGUCAAGGAUCCGACACUAUUAGAAAAAACUUGGAGCAAAAAUUGAUUUUUAAAUUAGGCAUUAUUGCUCCCUCCGGUCUUAAUGUAUCUUUCAAUGCUUUUAAGAUUUAAUUUCUAUCUUGUUUGGAUUUGGAUUUUGGACCAUGUGUUUGAUGUUGCUUUUAUUUGAUCAGCUCUUUUUAUUUUAUUUAUAUACUGUUUAUUUUUUUUCUUUUCGUUUUCAUUUUUAUAUUCAUAUAGGCCUAUAUAUUAUUUCUUCUUAUAUAUUAUAUAUAUGUAUGUGAUUUUUACCAUAGUAUAUUUUUCCCGCGUUUUUAUCUUGACUGCUGUCAAGCUUGUAGCUUGGCAUACGCCCUUAAGGCUAUUGUUCUUUUUUCUGUUAUAGCGUGGCUUCACGUCAUAUGUUGCUUUGUCUUACGUCCGUUAUAUUUGUAUAUAUUGUUUUUUCUUUUUUUAUGCUGUACACCUGAUGAAGGCCUAUGGCCGAAAACGUUUGUGAAUU